rnacentral:lncRNA from 1 species
AAGUUUAAAACAAAGGAAAGAGUCGGUUAUAUAUGUAUGUUAUCUUCAGAUUAUAACAUGAGCAGCAAGCCUGCUUCUCAUUUUGUGUCUGUGGGCUUCUCGAUCACUUCUCAAUGUCACACACACACACACACACACAUAUAUAUGUAUAUGUGUGUGUGUAAUCUAUAUCUUCUUCUUUCCAGCCGUUAAUGCAGAUGGAAUCCCAGAAUUCUCUAUUUUUAAGAGGCUAAGAUGGUGUAGGCUACCAUUUAAUCUUAAUAUGGGUCGACUAUAUUAAUAAAGAGUGGUCGAUUCAUAACUAACUGAAAUAAUUCGCUGUCCCACAUCGGUUCGUUAGCAAACAAUGGAAGCCCAAGAGAAUAUAAAAGGCGAAGCACGAGACUGAAAGAAGCAUACCUUUCUCGGCCUUUUGGCUAAGAUCAAGUGUAGUAUCUGUUCUUAUCAGUUUAAUAUUUGAUAUGUGGGCCAAUGGUCCACACGAUAUUAAAUUAAUUUUUUAAAAGGGAGGGUUCACCGCAGUAGCUUGCUACUGGGGCUCUCACGUGUCAUCUUUGCGUUGCACUACAGCAAGGUUUGGCGCACCUUACCAAAUCCAGUUCUAAAUUUAUAUAAUUUCGAAAUAGCAAGUAAAUUUAGUUUUUGUUCAUUUUGCUAUUGGUUUUCUUUCUCAAUAAAAGAGAAGGAACUGUAGUGGUUUCUGCAAGAUUGGGGUGUGGGGGGGGGGUCUCGAUUAUUUCGUUCUAGGGAGUAAUUGUGGAACCAAAUAUGUUGGUAUUAUCACGGGAUUGUGGAUGUGAGAGGUCGAGUUAGCAAUGAAAGGACAAGGGAAUGUGAAAUGUGUUUCUUGGGAUGUAGGUGAUGACAGACAAAUCAAAACUGUUCUUGAAGGCCUCUAUUGUUCAGGAUACCUACUGGCUACUGGUUAAAUUAGAAAAAAAAAAAAAAAAAAACCAGAAGUUAUAUACUGGUGUUAUUUGUGCGUUCAUUGUGUAUUUUUUUUUCGUGGUAUACAACAAGAAACUGAUCAAUUUCUUACCGAGUCAGCCUGGAAGUGAACUGGGGGAGAAAACUGAAAAUUAAGUACGACACCUGAUCGAUCCACAUUUGUAAGUUGGAAAUUAGCUUUCUAGCACAGAAGCACAUGUAUAAAAAUGAAGCAGCCUUGUGUUGCUCAACUCAUGAUUCAAUACAAUCUUCGAUCCCCCUCGGAGUUAUAAAUAUGUUUUACUUUAUUAACACAGCAUUGCAACAAAAGGAGAAGGCAUGCAAAUGAAAAGUAUCGAUUUCUAAAACCCCCUCUAGGCCUUGUUUCUGUCAUGGCUGGAUUACAACUUAAAAGUAUCUAUUUCUGAACCCUUCUCUAGGCCUUGUUUCUCUCAUGGCUGUGCUUCUGAUGAGAUCCCUUAAUGCUAUUUGGCAUGAACUGUGGUAGAUAGUAGUACGCAGUAUGAAAGAAGCAAAUUUAAUACAAAUAAUUGAAGGCAGAGAACUACGUAAGAGAACUACAUGGAGGGCGCAAUGAUAGAUCGACCUUGAAUUAUUGAUCCAUGUGAAUGCUUCAUUUAGUUUCAUGUUCGGGUUAUCUUGCGCUAUCCUUCGCAUAGAAUGCUUACCAAUUAAAUAACAAAGUAGCCGCAUGUGAUGCAUGGAUUGCAGUGCUUGGAAGUUGUUUAAAGGUGAUCUUCAGUGUGACGUCUGAGACAACACUUCAUGUGUCUGGUAGAAUGGUUGUAAUAUAUAGGGCUUUGAAGUUGUUUAAAGGUGAUUUCAGGCCACUGUCGUCAUCAUCUAGCCAAUAAUGAUGGUCUGGAUGCUCCUCAAAAUUCCAAGCUAGUUGCUCUCUUGACGUGACCUAUAUGCAUUCACAGACCUACACAAGCGAGGCUGAAUGAACACAAAAUCUCCAGAAUUUGAUAAGAUAAAUGCUAACAGAUAUAUUGGUUCAAGUGAUGAGAUCGAUCAGUGACCUUUGCUUUACAAAUAUCAUAUGUAAGAUCCCUAGUUGUAUAAUAGAAUACUAAGAAUAGAUACCUGAUACAGAUCUUGUUAUACAUUUUGAUAUCCAUGCCACCUUGAUAGAUUUGUGUCCUCAACAGUAAGAAAUUUUCAAGUAAAAGGUGACUGGGCAUCCAAUCUGCGCUGCUUAAGCUUUUGAAUUGUUUUGUAAUGGCUUUAAAACUAUCCCUGAUUUUUUUUUUUUUUUUCAAUUAUAAUCUGUUAUGAAAUGGACCCUCAGUCAGAAUGUAUUGUACCGCUAAUUAAUUCGAUAGCUGUUAUGUUUAAAUAAUUCUUAAACAGCUAGUAAUUCGAUCUUGAAAAAUCCCCAUGAAAAUGAUGGAUUACUCGGACUGUAUACAAAAAUAAAAAAUGGUGUGUGUAUAACUUGCCAAGAGCAUAGAACAAGCACACACACAAACACACAAUUAAAAGAGAUGGAAGAUACACAAAGAGAGCUAACUUUGGAAGAGAAAGAAAAGGAACGUGUCAAACUAGAACGGUGGAAAUAUGUGCUCCGGUUUUCGAAAAUUGCAGUGAUAAAAUGUGCCAUUGAGCUUGGAAUAAAUUGCCGUGAUAAAUUGCUGAUCCUAUUGAAAGCCAUGGAAGCCCCAUGCACUCUUACAGCAAUCGGCAACUCUCAAGUUGUAAUCCUUCUUCCCUUUACAUCAUGAGGUUCCUAGUUCACCACCAAAUAUUUAAAGAAGUCCAACCCACAAUCUCAUUAGGCCCCAAAACCUUUGUCCCAUCGCCUAGUAAAAACAUCAUGGCUGCACAGAUUUUGCUGAGAGCAGUCCGGUAAUGCUAGCACCAUGGCAUAGCCCAAGUAUUCCCCGGUUCAAGGCAAUGGCACGAGUUCUCCUGCGUUUAAGGCAGCACAUGGUGAGGAUAUAUGGAGCUUCUAAUCCCGGUCACAGGAAACUUAUCGAUGAAGCAAUGGCUUGUGAUGCUAGCUUGGGGCUGCCUGCAGUGACUGAGAGUUGUUUAGAGGGUUUUCACUGGGAUCUUCCUCAUGUUGCAUCUGUUGCUGAGGAGAGUGAUCGAGUGGAGAAUGGUCGAGGUGACAUGUUUGAUUGUAUACCAAAUUCCGUAGGCUGAUGCUGCAAUUAUCAAGGGAUUAAUUUGAUGUCCUGAAUUUCGUGUUUUAUUGUAUUAGUUGAGUUGUACUUGGUGGUUUGACUUGUUUCUCUUUGUAGUUGUGUGGACAAUAAUACAACUUCUGCGCUGAUCUCUUUCAGUUCCAGUGAUGGGAACUGAAUUGUCAAGUGAGGAUAUAAUUGUGAAAGAAGCAUAUACUGUGACGCUUUUCUGGUAGUGUUCGUUUUCAAAGAUCAAAACUUAGGCCUUGAUUGACCCAUGGCCAUCACUGUGAAACUUUCAAAGGGUUCACCUGGUUCAUAGUUUUUAUCCAGAAUGCAAUCAACAAAACCACUCGGCUAAAGUAGCUUUUAUACUUGGAAACUAUCAACAAGCUCGAUCAAGUAAUUACCUCGCACUGAGUAAAGUUGCACCAAUCAUCAACUGAAUGAACUGAUCUAGGAUCAAAAUAUAGUAUUUACAUAAUUUCGUUCAUGUAGUUGAUGUGUAAUUACUGCAUUAAUAAAUAAGACCACUUGUUACCUCUCUGAAAUGGGUAGUCUGUGGAGGAAUGACAGCAGGAAGCAAUUAGUUUAGGCUCCCACAUCGGAGCAAGAAGGAAGCUGUCAAGUAGGUGCGUUAUAAAAUGANNNNNNNNNNNNNNNNNNNNCAAAGGUUAACCUUAAAUAAUAGAAAACAUGUGCUUGUUUAUUCUGUCAAAGGAUACUUAACCACUGAUCUAUCUAGCUUCAAUUUCCAAAAUCUGCAAUAUAUUCAAGACAUAAGUUUCAGUCUAUAUUCCUAUAUAUGUAACUUUUCACUUUCUCCCUACUGACAUUGUAACCUUGUUUUAUUUGCUUUAAAGUGACAUAAUGUAAGGUACAUGAAUUUUCUUCGGUAUCCAAUUCUUCUGAUUCGCCUAUACGCAAAAAAAGAACUGCAGCAAAGCGCGGGUCUUUACACUAGUUGGAAUUUAUUUGUAAGUAAAUUUGAUCUUUGUGAAUUCUCUACAAUGCAAUACAGGUCUGUGUACAAAUAUUAUGUAUGUAUCUUGCUAAGCACACAAACACACAACAAAAAGAGAUGGAAGAUACACAAGAGCCAUCUUUGGAAGAGAAAGAAGAGGAACGUGCCAAAGUAGACGUGUAGAAAUAUGCGGUGCAUCAACAACUGGGGUCAAAUGACAAAGCGUGAAAGGUUUAUGUAGCGAUUGGAGUACAAGUAAUUGAGGGAUACAAUUAAUAAUCCCACAUCGGUGGAGAGGCAAAAGCUGUGUUGGCCAGUGGAUAUAAGAAGGGAAGCAGACAGAAAUAUUAAGCAUCUUUGCGCUUGGGGCAAUGACGCAGCUAAUGAGGUUCUAACCGAGGCGCGUCUAUUGCUGGUUGAAAACUAUUUCCAAACCCCCUCCUGGGCCUGGGUUAAUCUCAGUGCCCUCGAGAAUUUCUGGAAGGGCUCCCUCCGGGGUAAAGCUCUACAAUUCUAGUUAAAUUUUUAAAGAUCAAUAGUUAAACAAAGGUUGAUAAGAUAUUUUCCUAAGUAAAAACAGAUUAAUAUAUUUUAAAACCCUUACGAAUACUGAUGGAGCUCGUACUCUGUACAUAAUUGUGGUUUAACUGUAGAAACAUAAGGAAAAUAUUUUUGUCUGAUGCGUCGCAGACUAAAGGGUUUUCAAUGGGAUCUUCCUCAUGUUGCAUCUGUUGCUGAGGAGAGUGAUCGAGUGGAGAAUGGUCGAGGUGACAUGUUUGAUUAUAUCACAAAUUCCGUAGGCUGAUGCUGCAAUUAUCAAGGGAUUAAUUUGAUGUCCUGAAUUUCGUGUUUUAUUGUAUUAGUUGAGUUGUACUUGGUGGUUUGACUUGUUUCUCUUUGUAGUUGUGUGGACAAUAAUACAACUUCUGCGCUGAUCUCUUUGUAGUUGUAGUUUCAAAACUUAGGCCUUGAUUGACCCAUGGCCAUCACUGUGAAACUUUCAAAGGGUUCACCUGGUUCAUAGUUUUUAUCCAGAAUGCAAUCAACAAAACCACUCGGCUAAAGUAGCUUUUAUACUUGGAAACUAUCAACAAGCUCGAUCAAGUAAUUACCUCGCACUGAGUAAAGUUGCACCAAUCAUCAACUGAAUGAACUGAUCUAGGAUCAAAAUAUAGUAUUUACAUAAUUUCGUUCAUGUAGUUGAUGUGUAAUUACUGCAUUAAUAAAUAAGACCACUUGUUACCUCUCUGAAAUGGGUAGUCUGUGGAGGAAUGACAGCAGGAAGCAAUUAGUUUAGGCUCCCACAUCGGAGCAAGAAGGAAGCUGUCAAGUAGGUGCGUUAUAAAAUGAAGCAUCUUGACCGAUGUAAAUUCACGGAGCCAUGCGUUGAGCACAUAGCGAACUAUUCUNNNNNNNNNNNNNNNNNNNNNNNNNNNNNNNNNNNNNNNNNNNNNNNNNNNNNNNNNNNNNNNNNNNNNNNNNNNNNNNNNNNNNNNNNNNNNAAAGCUGAGUAGCUGACAUUCUUACUGCUGACUUUAAUUUAGAUAUAAAUAUCUACAGCUAAACACAAUUCCUCCAGUGUUCCUUCCUUCGGCUGGUAUUCGAUGAAUAUGGGUUAAAGCCAUGAACUCUGUAUUAAUAGAUUACUAAACUGUAGCUGUUUGAAACAAGUGAUAGAGUCGGUUAUUUAUGUAGGUUAUCUUCUAAAUUCUGAUCAUAACAUGAGCAGCAAGCUUGUUUCUCACUCUGUAUGUGGGAUUCUCACAUCUCAAUGUCGUACAUAUAUCUUCUUCUUAACAGCUGUUAAUGCAGAUUCCAGCUCUGAAUUUUAUAUCGUUUAUGAGGGUGAGAUUGUGUCUUACACCAUUUAGUGUUAAUGUGCAUCGAUUGUGUUAAGAAGAGUGGGUAACAGGAAUAGCUCAUAGUCCCACAUUGGCAUUGUUGUGAAGUAUGAAAGCCCAAGAGAAUAUAAAAGGCGAAGCACGAGACUGAAAGAAGCAUACCUUUCUCGGCCUUUUGGCUAAGAUCAAGUGUAGUAUCUGUUCUUAUCAGUUUAAUAUCUGAUAUGUGGGCUAAUGGUCCACACGAUAUUAAAUUAAUUUUUUAAAGGGGAGGGUUCGCAACAGUAGCUUGCUACUGGGGCUCUCACGUGUCAUCUUUGCGUUGCACUACAGCAAGGUUUGGCGCACCCUACCAAUAUCAGUUUCAAUCUUUAUUUUUCCUUAAAAUCUAAAUUGUUGUACCUGUGUAAUUUCUGUCCUUGGUGUCCUUCCUUAAAAUCUUGAUCGUCUUAUUGUCUGUGUGUCCUGCCCUGUAUAAUUUAUGCCUAAUAUCGUCUGUAAAGUCUUUAGAAGACUUCGACCUCUGUUUUCAUUUGUAGUAAAUGAUCAAUUUUUUGACCUGGAAUGGAAUUAUGUUUCAUAGACCUAUGAGGGAACCUUGAGUUCCGCAUGAUUAGGUAGGCGAGGAGUGUUGGUGUAUCGUGUACUGAAGAAUUUAGGGAAGCGAUUCCUGUUCCACAAUUAUUGUAGACGAUGAGAGAUCAAACGAGAUAAGCUUAGCUAAUGUAUGAGAAGUUGAUUACUAAGGCAAAGAAAGGACACUCGAGGGUAUGUGAAUAUGUUCUUGGGAAGCAGGUGACAGACAAUGUCAAACCUGUUCUUGAGGGCUUUCAAUAACAGUUAUUACCUGUUAUUUUACUACUAUUGCUGCAUCAAAUGACCUGAUUUGAAAUGUGAAGUUAUCUGCUGCAUGUUCUUAAUCGUGUUUUCUUGUAGCAUUUUGCAGUGAUGACUACCAGUACGUACUGUUAUCUUUCAUCUAGAAACUAAGCAUAUGGAUCAACUAUUGUUUGGGAGCUCAUCAGCUUGAAGUCUACUUGUGUUCUAAUAGAAAAGUAUAUUAACAUAGUAAAUCUGAGUUGGCUAAACAAAUAGUAGCUGGUAGAGGAUCUUUCAGAAACCUCGAAGUCUCAACAUAUGCUUNN